rnacentral:rRNA from 1 species
UCAGACGAUGCGUCAUGCAUAUCAAUAAGCGGAGGAAAAGAAACUAACAAGGAUUCCCUUAGUAACGGCGAGUGAAGCGGGAAGAGCUCAAAUUUGAAAUCUUCAAGGUUUUACCUUGACGAAUUGUAGUUUAAAGAAGUGUUUUCUGUUGAAGUUUUGGUAAAAGUUCUUUGGAAUAGGACAUCAUAGAGGGUGAGAAUCCCGUAUUUGACCAUUCUUUCUAGCUGUGUGAUACACUUUCAAAGAGUCGGAUUGUUUGGGAAUGCAGUCCAAAAUGGGUGGUAAAUUUCAUCUAAAGCUAAAUAUUGGCGAGAGACCGAUAGCGAACAAGUACCGUGAGGGAGAGAUGAAAAGAACUUUGAAAAGAGAGUUAAACAGUACGUGAAAUUGUCAAAAGGGAAGCGUUUGACACCAGUGUUGUUUUCUCGAAAAUCAAUUAAAAAGAGUUGGAUUUUGUGUUGUAUUGACCUUAUCAGCUUGCUUCACUCUUUUCCUGCUUUUUUUAAUGCACUUUUCGUUUAACAAGUCAACAUCAGUUUCUUUUGUUGUAAAAGGGUCAUUGGAAGGUGGCUUUCUCUUCGGAGAAAGUGUUUAUAGCCUUUGAUCUCUGCAAUCGGAGAGACUGAGGUCUGCAGCGUAGAUCCUUCGGGGUUAGAUACAUUUGUGCUAAGCUACAGCUUUUCAUAGACAACUUGUUGACUAUGUUUAGUCUUGUAACUUACCCGCUUAUGCUAUUUUACCUACGCUUAGGAUGUUGAUAUGCAUGACUGAUAU